rnacentral:rRNA from 1 species
AUUGAACGCUGGCGGCAGGCCUAACACAUGCAAGUCGAACGAGUGGCGGACGGGUGAGUAAUGUCUGGGAAACUGCCCGAUGGAGGGGGAUAACUACUCGAAACGGUAGCUAAUACCGCAUACCAUCAGAGGGGCCCAGAUGGGAUUAGCUAGUUGGUGGGGUAACGGCUCACCAAGGCGACGAUCCCUAGCUGGUUUGAGAGGAUGACCAGGCACACUGGAACUGAGACACGGUCCAGACGCCUACGGUAGGCAGCAUUGGGGAAUAUUGCACAAUGGGCGCAAGCCUGAGGCAGCCAUGCCGCGUGUAUGAAGAAGGCCUUCGGGUUGUAAAGUACUUUCAGCGGGGAGGCGUUACCCGCAGAAGAAGCACCGGCUAACUCCGUGCCAGCAGCCGCGGUAAUAC